ensembl:processed_transcript
ACCGGUGGCGCAUCCACAACCCCUGUGACCGUUCAAAACACUCGGCUUUGUACAAGUGCAAGUCACGCAUACGGAUGUAUUGACCUUCAAUCAGUCAGGAUACUUUGUGCAAACAACCUGAAGGCUUUACAUUGAGAAGUUGAAGAAAAUACCUUCGUAUGGAGUGAGGUGCUGCUGCUGUAAUGGAGCUCAGCAGGGGAGAGGUGCCACUUUAUGGUCAGGUGGAGGUCUGCGUGAAGCUGCCGCUGUCUGAGUUUGUUCAGGAGGAAACGGACUACUAUGUGCUGCUUGUGGGCUCUUCCCUUCACCAUGUAACUGCAGCUCAUAGGACUGAGGAUCACAGCUCCAUUAGGUUCACUGUACCUGG